GACGAACGCUGGCGGCGUGCUUAACACAUGCAAGUCGAACGGAAAGGCCCCUUUGGGGGUACUCGAGUGGCGAACGGGGGAGUAGCACGUGAGUAACCUGCCCUUGACUUCGGGAUAACUUCAGGAAACUGGGGCUAAUACCGGAUAGGAAUCCUUUCUUCAUGGUGGGGGUUGGAAAGCUUCGGCGGUUUUGGAUGGACUGGCGGCUUAUCAGCUUGUUGGUGUGGUAGUGGCUUACCAAGGCUUCGACGGGUAGCCGGCCUGAGAGGGCGACCGGCCACAUUGGGACUGAGGUACGGCCCAGACUCCUACGGGAGGCAGCAGUGGGGAAUAUUGCACAAUGGGCGGAAGCCUGAUGCAGCAACGCCGCGGGCGGGAUGACGGCCUUCGGGUUGUAAACCGCUUUCAGCAGGGGCGAAGCUUGUGGUGACGGUACCUGCAGAAGAAGCACCGGCUAACUACGUG
rnacentral:rRNA from 1 species